rnacentral:rRNA from 1 species
UACGAAGGUGGCAAGCGUUGUUCGGAUUUACUGGGCGUACAGGGAGCGUAGGCGGUUGGAUAAGCCCUCCGUGAAAUCUCCAGGCUUAACCUGGAAAGUGCAGAGGGGACUGUUCAGCUAGAGGAUGGGAGAGGAGCGCGGAAUUCCCGGUGUAGCGGUGAAAUGCGUAGAGAUCGGGAGGAAGGCCGGUGGCGAAGGCGGCGCUCUGGAACAUUUCUGACGCUGAGGCUCGAAAGCGUGGG